UUCAAUUGUUCACCUUAGUAGAUAGGCCGAUUCUUAUUACACACCUAUAAACCAGGCUCAUCAAAUAAUA
rnacentral:sRNA from 1 species